AAUGCGUGCUAUUUCCUCGGUAAAUUACAUAGAUUAUAUGAUUUCUGGCAGCGGCAGAUGGUCACAGCACCAUUUCACCCCAAACAACCACCGUCAAAAUGUCGCAGCCCGCAGCAGCCGACGCCAAGGCCCCGGUGAGCUGUAAUGGACAACCGGAAUAUUUCGAUCGAAGCUCAUCAUUGCCGCUGAUGGGGCGCUGCUAACGUGUGUGCUGGUGCUGGAGCCAACAGUCGUUGCGCCGGAGGCGGUGUACAUCCUGGACCGGUCCAACACAGUGCCACACAUGGAUACUAGUUUAGUUACAUGAGUUUCACUACUUUCAGUGAACUUAAGGUCUACAUGUUGAGCGUCAACUUUUACACCUUAUCACAAAUAAAACUGAUAAGAUAGAUACUGAACAAUUCAAUCAAAUGUAGAAAUAGGACUAAGUUAAAUAUAUAAUUAUGUGCUAUGUGUAUCUUUUUAUGAUGUAAGUUUUUUUUUCUCGGCCAGGUAUUGUUGAUGAAGCCAGUUUCAAUUACAAGGCCUGCAUGCUCCAAAACAGCCUCAUGCUUUAAAGUGCGAAACAACUGCCAGCCUAAACGCUUUUAUUUUAAUGUGCCUCAAUGUAAGACAGGAAAUUAAUGCUGUAUACUCUUCUAGGGAAUGACAGUGAGGAAAUUGAGGAAGUAUGCUAAUAUUCCGCAAGAAGCCUGGAUGCAUCUGGGUCCUAGCGCCGAUCCAAACUAUAAUGUAAAUUACAAUCCUGAUAAAUUAUAGAAGUACUGAAGUUAACAAUACUGUGUUACUUCUAUAAUAUAUAACAAAUUGAGCUACUUAAAAUGUGAAUCUGUGCAUGACAGGGCCACAUUUAAUUUAGAGGUUUUAAACUAGAUGAUGCUGUUUAUGGGAAUAUGAAACAUAACUACUGAAUUUACAACAGCCCAGUUUAUUAGCAAACCAGCAACCAUACUUUACAAAUUAGCUUUUAUUUGCACAUUUUAAACUACAGCAAGGACCCAAAUGAAUACCAAUACAUUUAAUUGGCAGAUCUAAAUAUAUUUAGUAAACACACAUUGGCAUUUCAAGUGAUUCUUAAACAGUUUAUUAGAAAGAUGCAGACAAUAAAAAAAAAGAAUUUCCACUGUAAUUCAACAUUGUAUCCCCUUAGAUUUUAUUGACAGUGCAAAUAUAAUUUGGUCAUUACAUGUUGCUGUAUCAUUCUGACACCUCAUCACCAGGGGAGGCUUUAUUCUACAUGAACAAAUGGAAAGAACCUAGAUAAUAGCAACAAACCACAUAACGCUGAGGUCCAACCAAGCUUCAAGCUCCUUAUCAGCUGCACAUUUCACCUAGCUUUUGCAGUGUAACACGAGAGUGCAUGUUAGGUGGGUAUGAAGAGAAACCGUUAUUGAUAUUAACUGGAAUUCAUUUAGGCAAUAUUUAAAUAGUGCUCUAAUGAUCUCAGAAUAUUCUAAACAUUAAACAA